CCUACGGGAGGCAGCAGUGGGGAAUAUUGGACAAUGGGCGAAAGCCUGAUCCAGCCAUGCCGCGUGUGUGAAGAAGGCCUUCGGGUUGUAAAGCACUUUCAGUGGGGAAGAAAGCCUUGGGGCUAAUACCCUCGAGGAAGGACAUCACCCACAGAAGAAGCACCGGCUAACUCCGUGCCAGCAGCCGCGGUAAUACGGAGGGUGCGAGCGUUAAUCGGAAUUACUGGGCGUAAAGCGCGCGUAGGCGGUCUGAUAAGCCGGUUGUGAAAGCCCCGGGCUCAACCUGGGAACGGCAUCCGGAACUGUCAGGCUAGAGUGCAGGAGAGGAAGGUAGAAUUCCCGGUGUAGCGGUGAAAUGCGUAGAGAUCGGGAGAAAUACCAGUGGCGAAGGCGGCCUUCUGGACUGACACUGACGCUGAGGUGCGAAAGCGUGGGUAGCAAACAGGAUUAGAUACCCUGGUAGUC
rnacentral:rRNA from 1 species